rnacentral:rRNA from 1 species
AUGAAAACCUUAUGCUGGAAUUAUCGUGGGAUUGGCGAUCCUGUGAUAGUCCGAAAACUCCGUAAUCUCGUGGAGCUGAGUAAGCCAUCGAUUCUUUGUUUAGUUGAAACCCAACUGCCGAAGAGUCGAGUAAAAGGCCUCCAUUUUUCGCUUGGUUUUGAUUUUAUCUUUGGUGUUGGUAGUAGUGGCAGGAAUGGAGGUAUUUGUAUCUUUUGGAACAAUUAUAUAGAUGUAUCAAUAAAAACUAUUCUCAAUAUCAUGUGGAUGGAUGGGUUUGUGAACCAGGGAGAGCUCAGUGGAGAUUGUCCUGCUUCUAUGGUGAAGCGAACAUAA